rnacentral:rRNA from 1 species
UACAGGGGGGGCAAGCGUUGUUCGGAAUUACUGGGCGUAAAGGGCUCGUAGGUGGCCAACUAAGUCAGACGUGAAAUCCCUCGGCUUAACCGGGGAACUGCAUCUGAUACUGGAUGGCUUGAGUUCGGGAGAGGGAUGCGGAAUUCCAGGUGUAGCGGUGAAAUGCGUAGAUAUCUGGAGGAACACCGGUGGCGAAGGCGGCAUCCUGGACCGACACUGACGCUGAGGAGCGAAAGCCAGGGGAGCAAACGGG